rnacentral:misc_RNA from 1 species
AAGAAUUUAAAGAGGUGCACUUCAUUGUGGCUCGACAUUUUCUACCAUUCACCCUAGGUGCACCGUAAUACCUUUUUUUAUUAGACUCUACAAAGUUAAUGAAUGUAACACUUUUUUAUAAAGAAAUA